AGCGCGGAGCACGAGGAAUUCUGCGUGAAUCUGCCGGGACCAUCCGGUAAGGCUAAAUACUCCCGAGAGACCGAUAGCGAACCAGUACCGUGAGGGAAAGGUGAAAAGCACUUCGAACAGAAGAGUGAAAUAGUUCCUGAAACCGUGCGCCUACAAGCGGUCGGAGCUCGUUAAUGAGUGACGGCGUGCCUUUUGCAUAAUGAACCUACGAGUUGCCUUUGCCGGCAAGGUUAAGUGUGACGACACACGUAUCCGAAGCGAAAGCGAGUCUGAACAGGGCGUAUAGUCGGCAGUGGCAGACGCGAAACCAAGUGAUCUACCCUUGGCCAGGUUGAAGGCUGGGUAACACCAGCUGGAGGACCGCACCAAUAAGCGUUGAAAAGCUUCUGGAUGAGCUGAGGGUAGGGGUGAAAGGCUAAUCAAACUUGGAGAUAGCUCGUACUCCCCGAAAUGCAUUUAGGUGCAGCCUUGCGGGUUACUGAUGUGAGGUAGAGCGACUGAUAAGAUGCGAGGGCUUCACCGCCUAUCAAGUCUUGACAAACUCCGAAUGCGCAUCAGUUCUACCGCAGGAGUGAGGGCAUGGGUGCUAAGGUCCGUGCCCGAGAGGAGAAGAAUCCGGACCACCUGCUAAGGUCCCGAAAUGACAGCUAAGUUAAACUAACGAAGUCUGACUGCUAAGACAGCUAGGAUGUUGGCUUGGAAGCAGCCAUUCAUUUAAAGAGUGCGUAACAGCUCACUAGUCGAGGAGUCGGGCGUGGAUAAUAAUCGGGUAUCAAGUUGUCUACCGAAGCAGUGGGAUCAUUGAUAUGAUCGGUAGGGGAGCAUUCCAGUCGGCGUCGAAGGCGUACCGUGAGGUAUUCUGGAGCGUCUGGAAAAGCAAAUGUAGGUAUAAGUAACGAUAAAGGGGGCGGGAAACCCCCUCGCCGAAAGACUAAGGUUUCCUGAUCAACGCUAAUCGGAUCAGGGUCAGUCGGGUCCUAAGGCUCAGCCGAACGGCGAUGCCGAUGGCAGAAACGGUUAAUAUUCCGUUACUACCUUCAGGAGUGACGUGGAGACGCAGUAGUGACAGUGCCGCCAUCUGACGGAAUAGAUGGUUGAAGGGUGUAGGAGUCGAUCAUGGCAGGCAAAUCCACCAUGAGAUCCGAACCUGAUAGUAUGCCGCGUCCUUCGGGACAAGGCAAUAGUGCGCGUAAGCAUGCUGCCGAGAAAAUCCGCUAAACUUAAUCCUGCAGGUACCCGUACCGCAAACGGACACACGUAGUCGGGAUGAAUAUUCUAAGGCGCUUGAGUGAUUCACGGUUAAGGAACUAGGCAAACUGACCCUGUAACUUCGGGAUAAAGGGUCCCUACCCUUUUAUGGGAGGGCGCAGAGAAUCGGUCCAGGCAACUGUUUAACAAAAACACAGGGCUGUGCCAAAUCGAAAGAUCCAGUAUACAGCCUGACACCUGCCCGGUGCUGGAAGGUUAAGAGGAGAUGUCAUCGAUAAGAGAAGCGUUGAAUUGAAGCCCCAGUAAACGGCGGCCGUAACUAUAACGGUCCUAAGGUAGCGAAAUUCCUUGUCGGGUAAGUUC
rnacentral:rRNA from 1 species